AAAUAACAGCAAAGAGGGGGUUUUGAAAGCUCAAAAAUAUCAGCCACUCUUCACCCUUGCAAGUAAGUGAUUUUGAUGGCCUUUCUUGAUAAUUUUUGUACUUUUGAAACCUUUGUAGCAUAAUCUAGCUAAUGAGGGGACUUUUUUGCAAAAUGGUUGAAAUUAUAGGGUUUUUUCAUGAGAGUAUUCAUGUGUUUUUCUGAAUUUUUAUGAAAUAAAACGAGUCUUGGUUGUGUAAUAAACAACUUUUGUGAAAGAAGUUUGCAUGAAAACACCUAAAAAGGGUUAUUUUGUAAAGUUAUAAAAUAAGUUGUAAAUGUGUGAAAUAAUUGAAAAUGUGAGUUGCUAUAGUUAUAAAAAGUAUUCGUCUAGGCUUGGUAAAGGAGGAAAUUUGAGAAAAAUUGAUUUAAGAGCCUAAGGGUAAAAUCAUAAUUUUUGUAAAGUCUAUGGGCAAAACGAUCAUUUUUCCAAAUUGUGAAUUAUAGAAUGUUUUAAUUAAUGUAAUGAUUAAAUGAGUGAAUUUCAUCAUGUUAGAUCAAGAAAAUUGAUUUUGGGGCUUAAAUUAGAAUGUACGAGGUUAUGGACUAAAAUAGAGUAAUUAGCUGAAAUUGCAUUCAAGGCAAGUCUGUGUGACUAAAUAAACAUGUUAUCCAUGUUAUUGUUAAUAUACUUGAAAUCUAUUUUGCUAUGAUUGUAUUUAAUUAUAUGUUGAUGGAAUAUGACAUUCCAUUGAAACAAGUAAGUUGUACGUAAAUAAUGCAAAAUUUAAUGUUAUCAUGUAUUAUACGAUUAGUAUAGUAUGAAUUGUUGAUUUACGUUGUGAAUGAGAAUUUAUAUAAUAAAGACUUCCGGUUGAACAUAAAGAAUAUAUUUGGAUAUUCAUGCCAUGACAUUGGGUGAUAUGUGUGCUAGUGUAAGACAUAUCUGAGACAUGCAUCGGCCACAUUACGGGAGCCAGUGUAAGACAUGUCUGGGACAUGCAUCGGCCUCGAGAUAUGCAAGCCAGUGUAAGACAUGUCUGGGACAUGCAUCGACAUUGAGACGAGAGCUAGUGUAAGACAUGUCUGGGACAUGCAUUUGGGACAUGGCAUCAGCUUGUUGUGUGUCAGUGUAAGACUUGUCUGGGGCAUGGCAUUGACACCUAUAAAUGAGAGCCAGUGUAAGACCUGUCUUGGACAUGGCAUCGGCCUCGAUAUAUGAAAGUCAGUGUAAGACCUGUCUGGGACAUGGCAUCGACUUUGAUGUGCUAUCCAGUGUAAGACCAUGUCUGGGACAUGGCGUCGGCAUCUUAUCCCAUGUUUGGGGCUAUUGAAUAUCCUGUAGUAUUCCAAAUGGUUUAACGGGAGAUUUACGGUUUAUAUUGAAAUGAGAGAACUUAUGACCAUGUGGUGAGUGGUAUAGGUACUUAUAUGAAAUUGAUGAGAUGUGAAUUCAAUUCAUGUUGUAUGAUUAGUAAGGAAUGAAUAUGAGCAUGUUGAGUAACACAGGUAUGUAUGCCAAACUCAUGAGAAAUGAUUUCGGUUUAUGAUGCAUAUUGGGUGAAGAUGUAAAUAGGUAAUUCAUGCCUAUGAGAAUGAUUUUGUGAUGACCUUGUGAUUAUAGGCAUAUACUUAUGAUAUAUAAAUAUGUAUAUUUACCAAUGCGGUGAAAAUGAAUUAAUAAUGUGUGAUAAACUUAGUAUCAUUAAUUUACACUAAAACAGCUUUGGACAGCAGCAGUAGUCUGACUUUGAAAAUCCACCAAAAAUUGUGGAAAUUGAGUUAGAGGCUGAAUAAAAUAUUAAAUUAAAUUUUAAUGAGUCUAGUUUCACAUAGGAGAAACGGUGUAAGCAUAAGAGUUUCAUAUUAUAAAAUAUUUAAAUUAUUUUAAGAUAGAGUCAGAAUGAUUUCGAAAUCCCAUAUUUUGAUUUGAAAAAUCAUUUAAAAUUGUAAAAAAAUAAUUAGGGGUUAUAAUUUAUAUGCUUAUAAUCCUUGAUGAGUCUAUUUUCAAGCGAAAUAGACAAGAACAUUAUCAUAGUCCCGUAUUAUGAGAUAAUUAAUUUUUAGUGAAGAGGGGUCAAAACUAUCACACAGCAAGAAAAUGGUGACUUUAAAGAAUAAACUGUACUUAUUGGCUAAACUAAAAAUUCUAAAAAUUUUAUGGUAAGAAGGUAUGUGAGUCUAGUUUCAGAAAAAAUUUACAGAUCUUAAUUUAGCGUUCCGUACCUCCUGAUAUAAAUAAUUUAGUGACUGUGACUUGAGAAAAUAGCUUGACCUAAACAUAGGUAAAUAGGCAAUUAUGAGAGUAUUACCUUGAGAUCAUGUUGUAAGAAUUGGUGGAAGCAUAUUGAUAAAUUGCAUAUUAUUUUUAUAUGGACUUACUAAGCAUGUAGCUUACUCCCUCUUUUCCAUUUCUUUUAGCUUUGUCAGGUUAGCUUGGGGUUGGAGAUCGCCGGAGGCAGCAUCACACUAUCAAGUCACUACCUUUGGGAUAAUGAAGCACAUGUUAGAAAUUUUCAAGUGAGUGGCAUGUAACACCCCGAUUUUUGGGGCCUAGAGGAGUUGGGCUUUGAGUUUGGGAUUCGGAUAGAAGGAAACCUAAAUAAUUAGGAAGUUUUAAAUAUUACCGUUUAAGAAAAAAAUUUUGAAUUACUACUAGAAAAUUUUUACUAUAUUUAUUAUUAUAGAUAUUUUAAAUUUUUACGAAAUUUUAAUUAGUAUUAUGAGAUAAAAUUAUUAUUAGAAAAAUAUUACUGCAUGUAUGUUUGAAAAAUUUUUAUGAAAAUUAUUAUUAUUUACUGUAUUAUUGAUAUUUGAAAUUUUUAUUAUUAGAUAUAUUUAUAAAAUUAUUAUUAUUAGAUAAGGAAAUAUAUAUAUAUAUUUAUAAAAGUAUUAUUGUUUUGGUGUUUAAGACUCUAGAAAAAUUUUAAUUUUAUGCUACCUUAGGGAAUCUGGGCAGUAGGCCUUAUUAAUAAUUUGGGCUGAGUUUUAGCAUAAAGGAGCACCUGUCCUAGUGGCUAAGCAUGCUAGGUAGUAGGAAGGAGAGUUGGGGUUUGACUCCCAACAUGUGCAAAAGAGUUUUAUUUUUCUUUAUAUCAGGGAACGACGUAGAGAAGUGUUAUAUAAAGUUAAAGUUAAAAGGUAACACAAAAGGGAAGCUCGGCCCAGUGGCAGAGGCGCUGGGAGUGUGGUAUAGUGCCUAGGUUCGAGGGUUGGCACACGCAAAGGCUUGGUUUUUAUUUUAAGAAGCCAGAUCGCACUAAAGUAAGGUUUAAGAAUAAUUGCGACCGAGCUAUGUCACAAGAAGCGCCUGUGGCUCAGUGGCAGCAGCGUGGUGGGCAUAUGGAGAGGGCGCAGUUCGAGUCCAUACGCGGGCGAAUUCUGUUUAAUUUUUAAAGUGGGCCAGAACUGAAGCAGGUAAGGUUUAUAAUUAAUUGUGACCAUAUAAUAGUAAGGAAGGAAGUAUGGUGCAGUGGCCAAUAGCACGGGCUUGGGUACAAGGCAAACGGAGGUCUGGGGUUCGCGCAUGCAAGGUUUGGAUUUUUGCUACUUGGCAGCAUGCUGAAGCAGUGCAAGCAGGUGGAAAAGGCUGCUGAUCGGUUGGGAGUUUGAAUGAAAUUCAAACUUCGAAUUUGGCCUAAAAUCAAGGAGCAAAUUAGGGAAUUGGAAUUUAAAAAGAAUUACUAUGCCGAAAGGCACUCUUUCGGCCAUAGCUAUAUUAAAUGUCGUAUAUUUUGGAUUUAUUUUUUUUCCUUCUUCUAUUUUCUAUUCUUUUCUUUCCUUCUCUCAUCUCUCCGCCUCAUCUCUUUUCUUUCUCCUCUUGCCGAUUCUCAUCUUAUCUUUUUGCCGAACCUAAAUCCUUCAUAUUCUUCUUCUUCUUUUCUCUCAUAAAUCCUCAACAAAACUGGUUAGCCGAAUUUCCAUUGAAGCCAAACCUCGUAUCUUUUCUUCCAAAACCGAAAUCUUACUACUUUGAGGUACUGCAAAGGCCGAACCCUUGGUUGAGUAUUUUCCCUUCUUGUGCGGUGGUUGGAUCUACAAUCGGUUGGGAGUAGUGUCAUAACGAUAUAGGUAAACGCUUGAAUCUUUCUUUCGUUAUUCAUGAAUUACGGUAAAAGCCGAAAAACCCCUAUAUGCAAAGGGUGCCUGUUGAUUGUACUCAAAGGGUUUAGUAGUGAUAUCUGAUUUGUUUUCCUAUAAUGUGGAUUAAAGGCUACUAAUCGAGGGCUUGGAUAUUUGGAACGACCAGAAUUAGAUCUAGUCCAUUUUUUCGGCAAAGGUAAGAACACUAGUGCCUAAAGUGUUAAUGGUCGAUUUUUAGUAAGGAGUUUUGCAGAUAAGUUGCUAUGGAUUCAUAGUUAACGUAUUAGUAAUUGAUUGUAGGCAGUUCAUGUGUGGAACUCGUCAGCGUUUCGUCGCAAACAGGUGUGUAAACGACAGCCACUCAUAGACUAGAUCGGCAAAAGGCGAAAAGCCGAAAUGCUGGAAAGCCAGCAUUUUGUGAACUUGCGAGCGUGCGAGCACUCAUGAGAUGGUUGUUUGUUAGUUUUGGUAAUCUAAAGCGGUAUGAUUACAGAGUGCGCAAUUUCGUGCACUUCGGUAUAUUUGGGCUUAAUGGGUCGAAAAUUGGUUAAUGGGCCAACGAGCCCAAUUCAGUAAAGACGCUCGGUAAAUGUUUCUGUUGGUGUGUUAACGGUUGUAGGAUGUAUGUAAACCCUAAAAUAGUGAAUUUUACUAAAAUACCCCUGGGUAUGAAAAUUACCGUUUUACCCCUAGGUGCAAAAUGAUCGUUAUACCCCUAGGGUUAAUUUUGACUGAAAUGCAUAAUAUUCAGAUUUUGUUUGUUAUAUGCCAUGACAUGUAUAUCUGUUGCAUAAGGUUGGGUUUUGUUAUGGAGGAAGAACCCGUUCUGGUGGCUGUACCAUAUAUUCUGAUAUAAGCAGAUUUGCUGCGGAUUAUAGUUAGUGCCGCAACUGGUGCUAACACUGUAAGUGUAGGGAUGGCGUGGGUGAUUUAUUCCCCACAGAAAGUGUAGGGAUGGACGGAGGCAAGUGCAGGGUUGGAUGGGGUUAUCAUGCAUUAAUCAUAUGAGACUGUUUUGUUAUGGGCCAACUGUAUUGAAGUGGGCCCAAUUAUGUUAAUAUGGGCAAGGCCCAAUAUAUCUCGACUUGUGAUAGGGCUACGGCCCAGAUUGAUACUGAUACGGGCUAGGCCCAAUAUACUCUGAUACUGUAAAGGGCUAUGGCCCAGAUUAAUAUUGAUAUGGGCUAAGGCCCAGUUAAUAUUGAUUUCUGAAUAGGGCUUAGGCCCAGUAAAGCUUGAACCGAUUUGGGCUCUGGUUGGGAUACUUUACACACUGAGUUUUCCAAACUCACCCCCUUUCUCUUCCAUCCUUGCAGGUGAGCCCUAGUUGGUGGACUUGGAGCUGGGCGGGAUUCAGAGUGGCCACGAAGAUUAAGUUUCUGUUUUCUUUAAAAUAACUUUCGCAUUUAUUAUUUUAAUUAUUUUUAUUCUAGUCUAAGUUGUAAUAAGGCUGC
rnacentral:lncRNA from 1 species